rnacentral:lncRNA from 1 species
UUUCAUCCAUCUUUAUCACCUGUUGUCAGCUGGGUAAAAAACGGGCUUCGCUCUUGUUUAAGAGUGGGCUGACAGCUCCAUCUCCACUCCUGCGUUCAGCACCCUGGAGAGCGCCGCCCGAGACGGGGAUAGAUGGUGAAUCAGACGCAGAUCAAUACGCAUCAUCAGGUAUGGAGAGCGGGGGUGGCGCGAUGGCAGCUGUGGUGGGCAGGGGACAGGGGAGAAGUGAGAACCCUAAUUAGACGAUUCCUCUCUCCCUGUCUCUCUCAAAGCCUUUCGCUUAGAAAAUGUUGGCUGGGUUUAUUUUUGUGUUUCAGUACAAGAAGAAACAUCACAACGACGACCGCCCACCCCCCUCCACCUCGCUUCUUAGCCCGCUGAACCGAUGGCAGGAGCACCGGAGUAUGAGUGCGAUUUAUUGCCAGACACGUGACCGGCUGACUCCGCUGUCGGCUUCCAAAGCUCACAGAGAGGAGCAGACCCACUGCAUCCACCCCUGGGUGAAAGAGAAGCCAUUCUGCACCAGCGAAAGGGGAGGAGGAAUGAGAACUUACUUUGCCAGGGAAUUAAAGGGGAAUUUCAGAGAGGUCAGACUGAGCCGCCCAGAGUGGAGUUCAGCCAGGAUUGUGGGGUUACAGCCCCACUCUUUCAAACAAUCAGGCUACAGCACUCCCCCUCGCAGUGGAGAAUGGUGGAGGUUGCUCGGUUCAGUACGAGACACCGGCAUACCUUUUGGUAGAAAUCCAGCUCGCCUACGUCCAUCCAGUACUGUAGCUCAGCAUGGUUAUCAAGACUGCAGCCGAA